AUUGAACGCUGGCGGCAGGCUUAACACAUGCAAGUCGAGCGGGGGAAGGUAGCUUGCUACCGGACCUAGCGGCGGACGGGUGAGUAAUGCUUAGGAAUCUGCCUAUUAGUGGGGGACAACAUCUCGAAAGGGAUGCUAAUACCGCAUACGUCCUACGGGAGAAAGCAGGGGAUCUUCGGACCUUGCGCUAAUAGAUGAGCCUAAGUCGGAUUAGCUAGUUGGUGGGGUAAAGGCCUACCAAGGCGACGAUCUGUAGCGGGUCUGAGGGGAUGAUCCGCCACACUGGGACUGAGACACGGCCCAGACUCCUACGGGAGGCAGCAGUGGGGAAUAUUUGACAAUGGGGGGAACCCUGAUCCAGCCAUGCCGCGUGUGUGAAGAAGGCCUUAUGGUUGUAAAGCACUUUAAGCGAGGAGGAGGCUACUUUAGUUAAUACCUAGAGAUAGUGGACGUUACUCGCAGAAUAAGCACCGGCUAACUCUGUGCCAGCAGCCGCGGUAACAC
rnacentral:rRNA from 1 species